CAGCUGAAGUUAAGUGAGAUGAAUCCUGUCUGCAGUAUGGCAGCUACAGAAGAGCUUUAGAUUCCUCAAGAUGGGAAAUGUUCCUCAUGCUUGCAGAGGAAUCUGAGAACUUUCCUGUCAGAAGUCACAGUGAAUAGAACUGCAGCCCAUGGGGAGGACACCACACAGGAGCAAGUUUGCUGUCAGACCUGUGACUGAGGACAGCACUCCACAGCAGGACCCCACUGGACCAGUCAGCCUGUGGGAAGGACUAAUGUUGGAGAAGUUCAUGAAUCACUGUCUCCAAUGGGAAAGAGGAAUUUGGUGACUUGCUGAAGGUUGCAGAAAGCUCCAGAGAAAUGACUGCUGUACUUCAUGAUCAGUUUGGACACACAGGAUUUACGUACUGUGAUAAACAUGAUCUGGCUACCUAGAAACACUGCUGUUAGCAGUUUUAAUGGCUAAAGGGCAGCAGCAGCUACAGGGCUCACAAAGUAUAUGAUGGCAUAUUCUCAAGCAUAUGGUGUGUUUCCUGGGUGUUCCUCUUAAAUUUUGCUGUGAAGAGGAUUAAAGGAGAAGAAAACAU